rnacentral:rRNA from 1 species
UACGGAGGGGGUUAGCGUUGUUCGGAAUGACUGGGCGUAAAGCGCGCGUAGGCGGAUCAUCAAGUCGGGGGUGAAAUCCCGGGGCUCAACCCCGGAAUGGCCUUCGAGACUGGUGGUCAUGAGUUCGAGAGAGGUGAGUGGAAUUCCGAGUGUAGAGGUGAAAUUCGUAGAUAUUCGGAGGAACACCAGUGGCGAAGGCGGCUCACUGGCUCGACACUGACGCUGAGGUGCGAAAGCGUGGGGAGCAAACAGG